UACGUAGGGGGCAAGCGUUGUCCGGAUUUAUUGGGCGUAAAGAGCUCGUAGGUGGUUCGGUAAGUCGGAUGUGAAAUCUCCAGGCUCAACCUGGAGGGGUCAUUCGAUACUGCCGUGACUAGAGUUCGGUAGGGGAGUGUGGAAUUCCUGGUGGAGCGGUGAAAUGCGCAGAUAUCAGGAGGAACACCCGUAGCGAAGGCGGCACUCUGGGCCGAUACUGACACUGAGACGCGAAAGCUAGGGGAGCGAACAGG
rnacentral:rRNA from 1 species